rnacentral:rRNA from 1 species
GAGGAAGUGGGUAUGUUAAUAGCAUAUUCAUUUGACGUUUAGCUUGCAGAAGAAGCACCGGCUAACUCCGUGCCAGCAGCCGCGGUAAUACGGAGGGUGCGAGCGUUAAUCGGAAUUACUGGGCGUAAAGCGCAUGCAGGUGGUUUGUUAAGUCAGAUGUGAAAGCCCGGGGCUCAACCUCGGAAUUGCAUUUGAAACUGGCAAACUAGAGUACUGUAGAGGGGGUAGAAUUUCAGGUGUAGCGGUGAAAUGCGUAGAGAUCUGAAGGAAUACCGGUGGCGAAGGCGGCCCCCCUGGACAGAUACUGACACUCAGAUGCGAAAGCGUGGGGAGCAAACAGGAUUAGAUACCCUGGUAG